CUUUUGUAACACAGCUAAAAACAGAGCUGUGGGAGUGGAAAUAAAACUUUUUUGGGGGGGUUACUGGGAAUCAAACUCAGGACCUUGCACUUGCAAGGCAGGCACCAGAACCACUGAGCUAAAUCCCCAGCCCAAGAAAACAUUUUGAAAACUUUAGGAUUGUUUCAAGCGAAUGGAAUUAGCAUUACUAAUGUGCUUACUCUUAAACUGAGAGGUUUUUCUUUCAUUUCUGUUAGGUGAUUCAUGAAGCUAAGAGAACUGCCCCAAGUAUAGUCUAUGUCCCACAUAUCCACUUGUGGUGGGAAGUGGUUGGACCAACACUCAAAGCCACAUUCACCACCUUAUUACAGAAUAUUCCUUCAUUUGCUCCAGUUUUACUACUUGCAACUUCUGACAAACCCCACUCUGCUCUACCAGAAGAGGUGCAAGAAUUAUUUUUCCAUGAUUAUGGGGAGAUUUUUAAUGUCCAGUUACCAGGCAAAGAAGAACGGACAAAAUUCUUUGAAGAUUUAAUUCUGAAACAAGCUGCUAGGCCUCCUGUGUCAAAAAAGAAAGCAGGUUCGUUAACCAUAUCAAAGUUUAAUAUAAUAAUUUUGAGAAAAUGGCAAUGAAAUAUCAGUUAAUAUUAUUGACAGCUAAUAGCACAGGUUGAAAGUCUCAGUCAUGACAUUGAUAACAGCGACUGCUUAAAAAUCUGUGCUUCCUGUUCAGGUAAAAUUCUUGAGGCACACAAGUGUUUCAAAGUAUGGCCCCAGUCUAUCCUUUUGGGCAUAUUUUUGACUUAUGUUUUCCCUUUCCCUUACCUAUUUUUGCUAGAAAACACUUUGUCUUUAUACACA
rnacentral:lncRNA from 1 species